GACGUGAUAAGUAUUUCGCCGAGGACAUACGAAAGUAUGGCCGAGAUAAAGGAAGUCUUUAGAUCCGCUUCUAAUUCUUAGAUAGAGCUUGCUCUACUAAACCCCAUUUUAUGAUCUGGCCUCAAAUCAGGUAGGACUACCCGCUGAACUUAAGCAUAUCAAUAAGCGGAGGAAAAGAAACUAACAAGGAUUCCCCUAGUAACGGCGAGUGAAGCGGGAUGAGCUCAAAUUUAAAAUCUGGCGGCCUCAGGUCGUCCGAGUUGUAGUCUAGAGAAUCGUUUUCCGCGUUGGCCUGUGUACAAGUCCCUUGGAACAGGGCGUCAUAGAGGGUGAGAAUCCCGUCCUUGACACAGACUACCAAUGCUUUGUGAUGCGAUCUCGAAGAGUCGAGUUGUUUGGGAAUGCAGCUCAAAAUGGGUGGUAAAUUCCAUCUAAAGCUAAAUAUUGGCGAGAGACCGAUAGCGAACAAGUACCGUGAGGGAAAGAUGAAAAGCACUUUGGAAAGAGAGUUAAACAGUACGUGAAAUUGUUAAAAGGGAAACGAUUGAAGUCAGUCAUGCUUUCCGAGACUCAGCCGAUUCUGUCGGUGUACUUCUCGGUUGGCAGGCCAGCAUCAGUUUCGAUCUGUGGAAAAGGUUGGAGGGAACGUGGCAUCCUCGGAUGUGUUAUAGCCCUUCUUCGAAUACAUAGAGCGGGACUGAGGAACGCAGCGCGCCUUUUAUUAGGUUGGCCC
rnacentral:rRNA from 1 species